rnacentral:rRNA from 1 species
AUUGAACGCUGGCGGCAGGCCUAACACAUGCAAGUCGAGCGGAUGAAGGGAGCUUGCUCCUGGAUUCAGCGGCGGACGGGUGAGUAAUGCCUAGGAAUCUGCCUGGUAGUGGGGGAUAAGGUCCGUAAAGGGGCCCAAAUCCGCAAACGGCCCGGAGGAGGAAGGUGGGGGUUCUUCGGACCCACGCUAUCAUGCUAGCCCUGGUCGGAUUAGCUAGGUGGUUGGGUAAAGGCCUAACAAGGCCGAGAUCCGUAACCGGUCUGAGAGGAUGAUCAGUCACACUGGAACUGAGACACGGUCCAGACUCCUACGGGAGGCAGCAGUGGGGAAUAUUGGACAAUGGGCGAAAGCCUGAUCCAGCCAUGCCGCGUGUGUGAAGAAGGUCUUCGGAUUGUAAAGCACUUUAAGUUGGGAGGAAGGGCAGUAAGUUAAUACCUUGCUGUUUUGACGUUACCAACAGAAUAAGCACCGGCUAACUUCGUG